GAUGAACGCUGGCGGCGUGCUUAACACAUGCAAGUCGAACGAAGCACUUUAUUUGAUUUCCUUCGGGACUGAUUCUUUUGUGACUGAGUGGCGGACGGGUGAGUAACGCGUGGGUAACCUGCCUUGUACAGGGGGAUGACAGUUGGAAACGGCUGCUAAUACCGCAUAAGCGCACAGCAUCGCAUGAUGCAGUGUGAAAAGCUCCGGUGGUAUAACAUGGACUCGCGUUGGAUGAGCUAGUUGGUGAGGUAGCGGCACACCCAGGCGACGAUCCAUAGCCGAGCUGAGAAGGUGACCGGCCACAUUUGGACUGAGACACGGCCCAAACUCCUACGGGAGGCAGCAGUGGGGAAUAUUGCACAAUGGGCGAAAGUGUGAUGCAGCGACGCCGCGUGAGCGAAGAAGUAUGUCGGUAUGUAAAGCUGUAUCAGCAGGGAAGAUAAUGACGGUACCUGACAAAGAAGCACCGGCUAAAUACGUG
rnacentral:rRNA from 1 species